CCCGUUUUUCGUCCGGCCGGACCGGCCGGCACGGUGGAGUAACACGUAUGCAACCUGCCCUCUUCAGGGGGACAACCUUCCGAAAGGAGGCUAAUCCCGCGUAUAUCGGUUUCGGGCAUCCGAGAUCGAGGAAAGAUUCAUCGGAAGAGGAUGGGCAUGCGGCGCAUUAGCUAGACGGCGGGGUAACGGCCCACCGUGGCGACGAUGCGUAGGGGUUCUGAGAGGAAGGUCCCCCACACUGGUACUGAGACACGGACCAGACUCCUACGGGAGGCAGCAG
rnacentral:rRNA from 1 species